rnacentral:misc_RNA from 1 species
CACGCUUCCAGAACAUUCGGUGGAAGGACCGUUAGGACACAGAUGAACCCUCAGGCACUCCGGCAAUAUACAUUGUCGCCAAGGUCGCCAUGUGUAAUGUUCAACAAAGCUUUAACUGUUGAGUCUAUUCCGCUAUUAGUUAAAGCGGCGCUAACAGUUUCGGUUUUGUCUUCUCGUGGCGUUGCCAUUGUUAUACUAAUUGUGCUGUCUGUUCUCGAU